UGCCUUUGUGUUGCCCAUUCAUUUCCUAUUAGAUGAAUGUGGUGUCAACUAAGGCACACAUUAAACCUUGAAAUAGCCAAAGAGAGGACCGGCCACUCGUUCUCUUGCUUGUGCUGUAACAAGAACAACA
rnacentral:snoRNA from 8 species